ensembl:lncRNA
GUAAGUAUAGGGACGGGGAGUUAGGAGUGCCGUCGUGCUGUGUGUUAGUAAAUUGCUGAAUGGUCGGAGCACGCUGUAGCGUAUGGACCAGUCCCGUUCUGAUCAGACUGAUUGCUGUUUCUGUGGCUGAGAUUGAUAUGUGCACAAGUCCAAUUGUGAGCUUGAACUGACGACACGCGGCUCGUAUUUGCCUAUUCGUAUUUGCCUCUAUUGACAAAUGGAGUUUCACAGACUGCAAUAAGCUCCCCCGGACAUACCCCCUUUUGGAAGAGGCAGUGUCGCCGUGGGGCAAGUUAAGUGGUUUUAUUUUAAACUGAUGUAUUUAAUAAAGUUGUCUCUUGUAAAACUAGAGGGUGAUUAGUGAGGGGGGUAAGACUGAAACUGGGAGGGUUUUGGGGUAGAUUUUGCACCUGUUUGAGAUGUGGUUUGAAGUGUGUCACGGUUUGUAGUGGAUUUUAUGGAUUGUCACAGAAUGAGUCAAUUGGUGGUACACUGCCCUAAGGCUUUUCAAGUGGCUGUUAGCCCAUCCUGUAGUCCCCUCUAUCAAUAAAAUUUCCUGUUAUAAUUGAAGUUGUGGUGGUGGCAGCAGCAUAUUAAAAACUGUACUUAUUACACUGGUGGCAGCGGUGGGACCAGUGGGGUCUAUCAUGUUAGGCCCAGAAGAAGAUAGCACACCAGCUGCUUCUUUAAAUGAUGGGGUGUUGACAGGACAAGGUUUAGCAUCUAGAAUGGCGACAGCACGCCCUGUUUUUAUGCCUGAGACUUUUACAUGAGCUAAUCGUGAGUGGUCAGAUUGGAUAGGACAAUUUGAAAUCGCAGCUAAAGUAAAUGGUUGGGACGACAGCUUGAAAUUGAAGUUCCUCUCUUUAUUGUUAUCUGGUAGGGCUCGGGACAUUUAUUGUGGAUUAUCCACUGAGUCUCGAAGUAGUAUUGAAAGCAUCUUUAGGAAGGUGCUUGGAGCCAUGUGAUAGUGAUGAUUGGAACUGUGGCAGUUUUUUAGCUUGUCGGCGGCAGCCAAAUGAGACUGCUAGGGAAUUUGGGAAUGCUUUGCGUCAUUUGAUUACUAAAGCUUAUCCCUCUGCUGAUAAUAAUACCUGUGAUCUUUUUGCUCGUGAUCACUUUAAAGAACAUGUGGGGAGUGGGGAUUUGGGUGUCCAACUUCGUAGUGCAAAACCAUCUAACUUAGAAAAUGCUGUCAAUCUGGCUUCUGAACUGGAGUUAAUUCGAGGUUUGGAGCGAAACCGUUCUGUUGCCGAUACUAAAGUGCGGGUGGUGUCUGAAAGUGUACCAGAUAACAGACAAAUGGAGACCCUUUUGGCAGUAGUAGAAGGAUUGAGACAGGAAGUAAGAACUUUGCAGCAGACUGUUCAGUCGUUGCAGGUUCGUGCUGAGAUCCCACCAUCUGGGGGACGAAAGGUAUCCUUUGAGACUCGGG